CCUACGGGUGGCAGCAGUGAGGAAUAUUGGUCAAUGGGCGAGAGCCUGAACCAGCCAAGUCGCGUGAAGGAUGACGGCCCUACGGGUUGUAAACAUCUUUUGUCAGGGAGCAAGUGAGACCACGUGUGGGCUUAGCGAGAGUAGCUGAAGAAAAAGCAACGUCUAACUCCGUGCGAGCAGCCGCGGGAAGACGGAGGAUGCGAGCUUGAGCAGGAUGGAUUGGGUUGACGGGGUGCGUAGGCGGAAGAUCGAGUCAGCGGUAAAUAGUCGGGGCGCACCCCCGUCGUGCCGUUGAAACUGGUGUUCUUGAGUGGUCUAGAAGUAUGCGGAAUUCCUGGUGUAGCGGUGACAUGCAUAGAUAUCACGCAGAUCUCCGAUUGCGAAGGCAGCCUCCCGGCGCCCAACUGACGCUGAGGCACGAAAGCGUGGGUAUCGAACAGGAUUAGAUACCCCAGUAGUC
rnacentral:rRNA from 1 species